rnacentral:rRNA from 1 species
GGUUUUGGACAGUGGGGGGAGUUUGAUGCAGAGACGCCGGGGUGGGGGAAGGAGGUUUUCGGAUUGUAAAGUCCUUUUUUAUGUUACGAGGAAGGACGGUAGCAUAGGAAUAAGUGUUGGCUAACUACGUGCCAGCAGCCGCGGUAAAACGUAGGACACGAACGUUAUCCGGAGUUACUGGGCGUAAAGCGCGCGUAGGCGGUAUGUUAAGUUACCUAUGAAAGUUAUCGGCUAAACUGGUAGAAGGUAGGUAAAACUGGCGUACUAGGGUGAAAUAGAGGGAAGUAGAAUUCCGGGUGUAGUGGUGAAAUGCGUAGAUAUCCGGAGGAGUACCAGUGGCGAGGGCGGCUUCCUGGAUUUCGACCGACGCUGAUGCGGGAAAGCGUGGGUAGCGAACGGGAUAAAAACCCCGGUAGUCCGCGGCGGG